UACGUAGGAUCCAAGCGUUGUCCGGAUUUACUGGGUGUAAAGGGUGCGCAGGCGGACUUAUAAGUCAGGGGUGAAAUCCCAAGGCUCAACCUUGGAACUGCCUUUGAUACUGGGAAUCUUGAGUCCGGGAGAGGUGAGUGGAACUGCGAGUGUAGAGGUGAAAUUCGUAGAUAUUCGCAAGAACACCAGUGGCGAAGGCGGCUCACUGGCCCGGAACUGACGCUGAGGCGCGAAAGCGUGGGGAGCAAACAGG
rnacentral:rRNA from 1 species